rnacentral:rRNA from 1 species
AUGCGGGACACGGCCGCCGGCCCGGAGGGGGACGACCUCAUGGACAUGCUCAAGCUCGCGCUGCAGUGCGUCAAGGUCUCGCCGUCGGCCCGACCCGAGGCGCGGAAGGUGCUGUGGCAGCUCGAGGAUAUCCGACCCAGGCCGGAGGGCGGCCCCGGACCAAGCGAGCAAGGCCAUGUUGCAAGACACCAUGCCGUCCUUGGCGGACAGCUCCGCAGCGUCCGUGUCUUCCACAGUCAGCUUCACCGUGCCGGUGAUCUAGCUCGGCCCAACACGGAGCUUCGUGUGAUUGCCUGCCUCUACACGGAGGACCACGCCGUACCGCUCAUCGACCUCCUCAGGGCCUCUGGCGCGUCCCGCGACUUCCCGUAUCCCUCAUCGUGCUCCACCUCACCGAGCUCCUCGGUCGUGCCGCCUCCAUGCCCAAGGCCCACAAGAAAGUCACCUCUCGUCCAUCACGUCAUCGCCAUCGGACCCAUCGUGAACGCGUUCCGCCACUUCGAGCAGCAAGCGUCGCCGGGGGCGGUGAUGGUCUGUUGA